UACGUAGGGUGCAAGCGUUGUCCGGAAUUAUUGGGCGUAAAGAGCUCGUAGGCGGUCUGUCGCGUCUGGUGUGAAAAUCCAGGGCUUAACCCUGGACCUGCAUCGGGUACGGGCAGACUAGAGUGCGGUAGGGGAGAUCGGAAUUCCUGGUGUAGCGGUGAAAUGCGCAGAUAUCAGGAGGAACACCGGUGGCGAAGGCGGGUCUCUGGGCCGAAAUUGACGCUGAGGAGCGAAAGCGUGGGGAGCAAACAGG
rnacentral:rRNA from 1 species